rnacentral:rRNA from 1 species
GGGUAGCCAAGUACGGACGGGAUAAGCGCUGAAAGCAUCUAAGCGUGAAGCCCCCCUCAAGAUGAGAUUUCCCAAUUCGUAAGACCCCUUGAAGACGACGAGGUUGAUAGGUUCGGGGUGGAAGCACGGCAACGUGUGGAGCUGACGAAUACUAAUCGGUCGAGGGCUUAUCCUA